GCCUGGGUAGCUCAGUCAGUUAAGCGUCUGACUUCAGCUCAGAUCAUGAUCUCAGUGUUCGUGGGUUCAAGCCCUGUGUUGGGCU
rnacentral:tRNA from 1 species